GCACCAUGCGUGGGGCGUGCUCAGAGCUCCGGGAGGCUGGGAGAGGAGGUGAGAGUGUGUUUGCUUGCAUAGGGCGAGGGGGAGCCAACAUCCGUGAUCACAGAAUAUGGCACUUGAGAUGGACUGGCACCCAGGAGGCCCAGCUGCCAGUCCCAGGAACAAAUGUAAUGCCCUUGACUGGCUUUUGGAAAAAUUGCUGGGGUUGGUCAAGGUUGGGCAGAACUCUAGCCAGGACCUCCCAUGGCCCUUCCCAAGAUGAGUCCAGGGCUCAAGCAGGAUCUCUGGGCUUAAACCAAUGUGCACCAUUGGCUCUGCAGGGAGGAAAAUCAACACCAGCCCUUCCCUCCCCUCCCCUCCCCCAAGACCACCAAAAAUGCUCCCUCCCCACAAAUCACCCUUCACUGUGCAUUCACCUCUGAUACUUUUAAGUGAAAACAUGAAUUAGGCAAACUAAUCAAUUUGACAACUGUUGGGAUCCGGGCUUUCUCACUGUAGUGGAAAUGGCUUCUUUACUUGAAGUCUGCUAAGAUGUCACUGAAAAUAUUGAGGAACAGGUGAGCGUGGUGAUCCCUGAAGACCAGCGUGGGACGGAAACGAAUGGAUUUGUCACCACAGCCACCCAACACCACACCUGAAAGAGGCAGGAGGACUUAAAAUUGCAAUGGAUUGGUUGUGAAAUGCCAUGUGUAAAGCCAUGCCUUCCUGCUACACUGCAUGCUUCCUGAAGGAAGGGGCUCUGAUGGUCUUCAUCAUCACUGUAACUGUCUCCAGUGUCCACUUACAACUCACCUCCUCAGCGAACGCUUGUUGAGUAAAU
rnacentral:lncRNA from 10 species